rnacentral:rRNA from 1 species
UACGUAGGCAGCGAGCGUUGUUCGGAGUUACUGGGCGUAAAGGGUGUGUAGGCGGUUCUUUAAGUCUGGUGUUAAAGCUAGGGGCUCAACCCCUGUGGUGCACUGGAAACUGGGCAGCUUGAGUGCGGUAGGGGAAGGUGGAAUUCCGAGUGUAGCGGUGAAAUGCGUAGAUAUUCGGAAGAACACCGGUGGCGAAGGCGACCUUCUGGGCCGCAACUGACGCUGAGGCACGAAAGCCUGGGGAGCGAACGGG